GAGGAAUAUUGGUCAAUGGACGUAAGUCUGAACCAGCCAAGUAGCGUGCAGGAUGACGGCCCUAUGGGUUGUAAACUGCUUUUGUAUGGGGAUAAAGUCAAUCACGUGUGAUUGUUUGCAGGUACCAUACGAAUAAGGACCGGCUAAUUCCGUGCCAGCAGCCGCGGUAAUACGGAAGGUUCGGGCGUUAUCCGGAUUUAUUGGGUUUAAAGGGAGCGUAGGCCGGAGAUUAAGUGUGUUGUGAAAUGUAGACGCUCAACGUCUGACUUGCAGCGCAUACUGGUUUUCUUGAGUACGCACAACGUUGGCGGAAUUCGUCGUGUAGCGGUGAAAUGCUUAGAUAUGACGAAGAACUCCGAUUGCGAAGGCAGCUGACGGGAGCGCAACUGACGCUUAAGCUCGAAGGUGCGGGUAUCGAACAGGAUUAGAUACCCUGGUAGUCCGCACAGUAAACGAUGGAUGCCCGCUGUUGGUACCUGGUAUCAGCGGCUAAGCGAAAGCAUUAAGCAUCCCACCUGGGGAGUACGCCGGCAACGGUG
rnacentral:rRNA from 1 species